ACAAGCUCCCAAAGGAAAACACCCAUGUGGUUUUUGCCUGCUUGAGCAGAGGUAUCACAUGGAAAAGUGGAUCCGACUCUACGGCCUGAUGAAAGUGACAUGGAAAAAAUAAGUUAUGAAAUAUAACUUCUCUUCCUGAACUUUUGGAAAAGGCAGAGAUAACCUUUCCAUGUGCAAGACACAUGCAGGGAGCAAGCUUCCAGAUUCUGGUGAGGACUUUCUUGUCUCAGGUGGCCUGGCCUAUUGCCAGGAUCUGAGCCCAGAAGUAGAAAUGGGAAGGAAGGGAGCUGGGGAGGAUUUGUGGUUGGAUGAAAGGUGGGGCUUAAAACAAGGAUGUCCUUGCCUUUCAGGUUUUCUACUGGGGCCUCCUUACGUGCAAGAUAAUUAAGUGCCAAUGCGACAGAGGAACAAUUUAAAGGGUAACGGAGAUACUUAAGUCUAGGUAUAUUCAAAAUAAACAUCCUAGCCAGGUCAACUUCUGGGUCCUCUCUGCAUGCCCCAGACACAUCACAUCUCUCUCUCUCUCUCUCUCUCUCUCUCUCUCUCUCUCACACACACACACACACACACACACACACACAUCCCUUAGAUUAUUUCCUGUGAAAUGCUAAGUAAAUAGAUCUCAGGCAAUGAA
rnacentral:lncRNA from 10 species